CCCUUAGAUGUUCUGGGCUGCACGCGCGCUACACUGAUGCGAUCAACAAGUUUUUCCUAUGUCGAUAGACACGGGUAAUCUUUUGAACUCGCAUCGUGAUGGGGAUAGAUUAUUGUAAUUAUUAAUCUUCAACGAGGAAUUCCUAGUAGGUGCAAAUCAUCAGUUUGCAUCGAUUACGUCCCUGCCCUUUGUACACACCGCCCGUCGCUGCUACCGAUUGGUUGAUCUGGUGAAUUAUUCGGACUGCCGGCUGAAGGGGUUUCCUCAUCUUCCAGCGGAAAGUCUUGUUAACCCUAUCAACUAGAGGAAGCAGAAGUCGUAACA
rnacentral:rRNA from 1 species